rnacentral:tRNA from 2 species
GGGAUAUUAGCUCAGUUGGUAGAGCAACUGACUCUUAAUCAGUGGGUCGCAGGUUCGAUCCCUGCAUAUCCCA